rnacentral:rRNA from 1 species
CGACCCUACCGACACAAGCCAGAGCACAAAAAGGAAAUUGACGCUCAAGUCGAAGAACUUCUUUGCAAAGGGAUUAUUCAGAAAAGCAGCAACCCCUUCUGCUCCCCAGCUAUCCUCGUCAAGAAGAAGGACGGAACAUGGAGACUCUGCAUCAAUUACAGACAUCUCAACGCCAUCACCUACAUUGCCAAGUACCCAGUGCCGAUCAUCGAAGAAUUACUGGACGAGUUACACGGUGCAGCCUGGUUCUCCAAGUUGGAUCUGCGCUCGGGCUAUCACCAAAUUCGCUUGGCAGAAGGUGAAGAGUACAAGACCGCGUUUCAGACGCACUCAGGCCACUACGAAUUUCUGGUGGUCUCUUUCGGGUUAGCGGGUGGACCGGCCACAUUCAAUGGAGCUCUGACAACCACACUCAAACCAGUCGACCGCAAGUGCGUGCUCCUCUUCUUCGACGACAUCCUCGUGUUUAGCAAGACUCUACGAGACCACAUCAAUCAUCUGCGACAAGUUCUGCAGCUCUUGCGCCGAGUCCAAUGGCGCGUGAAGAUGUCCAAAUGCGAGUUUGUCCAGCACAGCCUGUCAUACCUAGGGCACGUCAUCAGCGACUGUGGGGUAUCCAUGGAACCUACCAAGAUACAAGCAGUGUCCAACUAG